rnacentral:rRNA from 1 species
AACGAACGCUGGCGGCAUGCCUAACACAUGCAAGUCGAACGAGACCUUCGGGUCUAGUGGCGCACGGGUGCGUAACGCGUGGGAACCUGCCUUUAGGUUCGGAAUAACUCAGAGAAAUUUGAGCUAAUACCGGAUGAUGUCUUCGGACCAAAGAUUUAUCGCCUUUAGAUGGGCCCGCGUUGGAUUAGCUAGUUGGUGGGGUAAAGGCCUACCAAGGCGACGAUCCAUAGCUGGUCUGAGAGGAUGAUCAGCCACACUGGGACUGAGACACGGCCCAGACUCCUACGGGAGGCAGCAGUGGGUAAUAUUGGACAAGGGGCGAAAGCCUGAUCCAGCAGUGCCGCGUGAGUGAUGAAUGCCUUAGGGUUGUGAAGCUCUUUUACCCGAGAUGAUAAUGACAGUAACGGGAGAAUAAGCACCGGCUAACUCCGUG